rnacentral:misc_RNA from 1 species
CAAAACCCUUCGGCGGUCAAUUUUUAUUGCCACCGGUGCUGGCGGCGGGCGGCACCCCUCCCCGGGGUGCCCCCCGCUUAAACCUGACGGCGGGGCAGCUGGUUCAGCCGCGACAAUAGUAGUGAUAUUUUUUGUCCGAGGCUUUACCCAACUGCCCCCAUUCAAAUAGUAAAGGCUUUCACGGGCCUUUCGACU